rnacentral:rRNA from 1 species
UACGAAGGGGGGCUAGCGUUGCUCGGAAUCACUGGGCGUAAAGGGUGCGUAGGCGGGUCUUUUAAGUCAGGGGUGAAAUCCUGGAGCUCAACUCCAGAACUGCCUUUGAUACUGAAGAUCUUGAGUUCGGGAGAGGUGAGUGGAACUGCGAGUGUAGAGGUGAAAUUCGUAGAUAUUCGCAAGAACACCAGUGGCGAAGGCGCUCACUGGCCCGAUACUGACGCUGAGGCACGAAAGCGUGGGGAGCAAACAGG